rnacentral:rRNA from 1 species
UACGGGGGGAGCAAGCGUUGUUCGGAUUUACUGGGCGUAAAGGGCGCGUAGGCGGUCAGUGCAAGUCAGUUGUGAAAUCUCUGGGCUUAACUCGGAACGGUCAAGUGAUACUGUCGGGCUAGAGUACAGAAGGGGCAACUGGAAUUCUCGGUGUAGCGGUGAAAUGCGUAGAUAUCUGGAGGAACACCGGUGGCGAAGGCGGCAUCCUGGACCGGUAUUGACGCUGAGGCGCGAAAGCCAGGGGAGCAAACGGG